UACGGAGGAUGCGAGCGUUAUCCGGAUUUAUUGGAUUUAAAGGGUGCGUAGGCGGACGCUUAAGCCAGCGGUAAAAUUGCGGGGCUCAACCUCGUCGAGCCGUUGAAACUGGGUGCCUUGAGUGGGCGAGAAGUACGCGGAAUGCGUGGUGUAGCGGUGAAAUGCAUAGAUAUCACGCAGAACUCCGAUUGCGAAGGCAGCAUACCGGCGCCCUACUGACGCUGAGGCACGAAAGCGUGGGUAUCGAACAGG
rnacentral:rRNA from 1 species